UACAGAGGUCUCAAGCGUUGUUCGGAUUCAUUGGGCGUAAAGGGUGCGUAGGCGGCGCGGUAAGUCGGGUGUGAAAUUUCGAGGCUUAACUUCGAAACUGCAUUCGAUACUGCCGUGCUUGAGGACUGGAGAGGAGACUGGGAUUUACGGUGUAGCGGUGAAAUGCGUAGAUAUCGUAAGGAAGACCAGUGGCGAAGGCGGGUCUCUGGACAGUUCCUGACGCUGAGGCACGAAGGCCAGGGGAGCAAACAGG
rnacentral:rRNA from 1 species